GACGAACGCUGGCGGCGUGCUUAACACAUGCAAGUCGAACGGAAAGGCCUGCUUUCCCUUGUGGAUUGCGGGUACUUGAGUGGCGAACGGGUGAGUAACACGUGAGUGAUCUGCCCCCAACUUGGGUAUAAGCCUGGGAAACUGGGUCUAAUUCCCGAUAGGACUGCAGGGUGGUGCCUGUGGUGGAAAACGAUUUUCUAGUGGUUGGGGAUGAGCUCGCGGCCUAUCAGCUUGUUGGUGGGGUAAUGGCCUACCAAGGCGGCGACGGGUAGCCGGCCUGAGAGGGUGGACGGCCACAUUGGGACUGAGAUACGGCCCAGACUCCUACGGGAGGCAGCAGUGGGGAAUAUUGCACAAUGGGCGGAAGCCUGAUGCAGCGACGCCGCGUGGGGGAUGACGGCCUUCGGGUUGUAAACUCCUUUCGACCGCGAGGAAGCCACCUGGUUGGAAGGGUGGUGACGGUAGUGGUAGAAGAAGCACCAGCUAACUACGUG
rnacentral:rRNA from 1 species